rnacentral:rRNA from 1 species
AUGGGAGCUUGCUCCCUGAUGUUAGCGGCGGACGGGUGAGUAACACGUGGGUAACCUGCCUGUAAGACUGGGAUAACUCCGGGAAACCGGGGCUAAUACCGGAUGCUUGUUUGAACCGCAUGGUUCAAACAUAAAAGGUGGCUUCGGCUACCACUUACAGAUGGACCCGCGGCGCAUUAGCUAGUUGGUGAGGUAAUGGCUCACCAAGGCAACGAUGCGUAGCCGACCUGAGAGGGUGAUCGGCCACACUGGGACUGAGACACGGCCCAGACUCCUACGGGAGGCAGCAGUAGGGAAUCUUCCGCAAUGGACGAAAGUCUGACGGAGCAACGCCGCGUGAGUGAUGAAGGUUUUCGGAUCGUAAAGCUCUGUUGUUAGGGAAGAACAAGUG